AUUGAACGCUGGCGGCAGGCCUAACACAUGCAAGUCGAACGAGUGGCGGACGGGUGAGUAAUGUCUGGGAAACUGCCUGAUGGAGGGGGAUAACUACUGGAAACGGUAGCUAAUACCGCAUACCAUCAGAUGUGCCCAGAUGGGAUUAGCUAGUUGGUGGGGUAACGGCUCACCACGGCGACGAUCCCUAGCUGGUCUGAGAGGAUGACCAGCCACCCUGGUAAGGAGAAACGGUCCAGACUCCUACGGGGGGGAGCAGUGGGGAAUAUUGCACAAUGGGGGCAAGCCGGAUGCAGCCAUGCCGCGUGUAUGAAGAAGGCCUUCGGGUUUGAAAGUACUUUCAGCGGGGGUGCGUUACCCGCAGGAGAAGCACCGGCUAACUCCGUGCCAGCAGGCGCGGUAAUAC
rnacentral:rRNA from 1 species